rnacentral:tRNA from 1 species
ACUUAAAUAAUUUAAUUAAAAAUAUUGAUUUGUGGAAUCAAAAAUAUGGCAUAUUCAUUUUAGGUA